UGGGGCUGGGCUGGGCUGCUUUCCCUUCAUUUGUUUCUACUCAAUUCUGGAAGCCUGAGAUGAUGUUAUUUGAUUUCAAAUCAUGUCAAUUAGCUCCUCAAACUGAGUCAGCACUUGGAUUUUAUAAAGGCUACACUCAUUGUGUGAUAGAAGCAAGAUUAUUUUAUGAAUAAGGUUAUCAUCUUGUUGAUUAUAAGCAAAAUUGAAUUUUUUUUUCACAGUAGGGACAUUAGUGUAGCCAAGCAAAGCAGAGAAACGUGCUUACUUUGCUAAAAUAUGUAUCUUCCUCCAAAAAGGAGCUCUUCCAAAUGAGAUCACCAGGGAAGAGUUCUGAGGUAACGCCAGUCACCAUGCAAACCCACCAGACGUUUACACGGCUUCUUCGUCCCUUCCUGGUACGAGAAAAGGUAAGCUUGAAACGCAAAUUCCAUUGACUCUGAGGCCACCAACAUAUUUAAAAAUGGUGUGAGCCUGUGACAUUUACAAGCACCAAAUUCAUGUAGGGAAUAAAUCUGGAAUCACCUAUAAUCACCGAGUAUGCAACUUUGUUUAUAUCUAGCGUUUGCUGGGGACUUGUGCUUCUUAAACGGGAAUAUUCAAAAAAUGCUGGGCAAUAUCUGCGCCACGGGGCACCAUCUCCCUCCACCGAAGAAGUCCUAGUCACUGCCAAAGUGUGAAAAUCGGGGUACCCAGAGGCACAGAAGCAGGGAGGACUGAGCAGUUGAGAGCAGCCACCCUUGUCCUGUCUCAGCAGCCACAUGGGACAGAUAGGCUUGGUUUUGCCGCAGGGGAUAGGUGUGUGGGCUGAGCUCAGCAAAUCGAAUAGCACACCUGGGAUGAAGUCUGUGUAGUUCUCAGCUUGAAACGAUUCCCCAUUUCAAGUCCAUAAGGCCCUCCGUGUACGGCGUCAGUUUUGCUUAGCUGCGGCAGCCACAAAGAAGCAAUUUAUUGAAGAGCUGAAACGGCUCUCCUUCAAUGGGCUGACAGGCAAAUAUUUGAGGGAACGCUUCGCUGGCCGCCUACCGUUGUGAACAGACAUCUGCCAGCGCUGUUGAUUGGCAUCCUUCCUGAGUUAAGUCAUCUUGCCCAGCCUUGCUAAAAACUCUCAAGUACAAGUUUAUUCUUGUCGCUUGCAUACCAUUCUCUGGAGGGCUGUUCUCAAGGAUGCCUGCAGAGAAAAGCUUCCUUCCUUUCCCCUCAGCCCAAGUCUCUGAGGACCAUAAGGAGGGGGAGUCAGGGAAACUUCCCUGGUAGAAGUGAAGAUCCAGGGCUGGAGAGAUGGCAGAGCAGUUAAGAGCACCAGCACCAACUGCUCUUCUGAAGGUCGUGAGUUCAAAUCCCAGCAACCAACCACAUGGUGGCUCACAACCAUCUGUAACAUCCCUCUUCUGGAGUACUUACAUAUAAUAAACAAAUAAUUCAAAAAAAAAUUGAAAAUCCAUUGUCAAGGUCUCUUCAGAUGGCAUCUUUGUUUAACUUUUGAAGCUCCACACAGCAGUCAGAUAAAAAUGAAGAUAUUAAGACUUUAGAAGAAACACUCGUCCAUAUCGCUAAUGGGUUUUAUGAUGAGAUGUGGAAAAACUGGUACCUAACUAUCCACCCUCCCUCACCAAGUGAUUGUUAAAUGUGUUUCCGUGAGAAACGAACUCAGCCAAAGAGUGCUCGCUGAACUACAAAAUCAACAUUCUGAAAUAGCUCCAUGGAUAUUUUCUGCUUUCAAAAUGUGUUUUGUCACCUCAAACUGUAUGGAAGCUUCUGGAAGCAUGCCGUGUGUCCUGCUGUCUGUGCUGUGGAAGGGCACAGCUCCCGCUGUCCUCUGCCGAGAUCAUUUUAUUUAACAAGGUUGUGAAAUCAACUAGGGUUCUUACUUUCCAUGGGAGAGAUCUAAGAUUUGGUGAGCUCACUGGCCCUCCUCGCUGUGGCUUGGGAUUGAAGUGUCCUCCCAGAGCUCAUGUAUUGAAAUAUAGUUGUGUUCAGAAGUGGGAGAUGAUUAGAUCUGGAAGAUUCUGGCCUCAUCUGGAUAUUGCUCCUUUGAGGGGUACAUAAGCUCAAAACAUCUUUGGGAAAUGGGGAACACUUGAAGAGGUAGGACUGGUCGGAGGAAACAGAUCCGUGGGAAUGUGUCUGGGAAGGCUGUGUCUUAGGCUGAGCAACUUUGCUCCCAUCAAGACUUAGUCCUGCCAUGAGCUUUAGCCUCAUUUUGGAACCAAAAUGACCAUGGUCUGGAACCUCUGAAACCAAGAUCUGAAAUUAAGUCUUUGUCUUUUUCAUUUAAGUUUCUGCUCUGCUAGUUUGUUACAGUAGUAGAGACCUGACUUACACAGCCCUACAAGAAGUGUUUUAAGAACUGGAUCCUGCCUGGUCCUUGAUUCUGAAGCCCAUGGCUUUGACUCUUCAUUGAGUACUAGAAUGCCAUAUUGAUCAGUUUUAUUGACUUAUUGGUUUUAUACUGAGAUCCAUAUAGUUUCCAAUUUCAUGUAAAAUGAGAGCAAAUAAAAAGUAUUUAAGA
rnacentral:lncRNA from 1 species